AACGAACGCUGGCGGCGUGCCUAACACAUGCAAGUCGAACGAGAAAGUCCUUCGGGAUGAGUAGAGUGGCGGACGGGUGAGUAAGGAAUAGGAACGUACCUAUAGGAGGGGGAUAGCUACGGGAAACUGUGGAUAAUACCGCGUACUAUCGCAAGAUAAAAGGGGGCCUCUGCUUGCAAGCUCCCGCCUAUAGAGCGGCCUAUUUCCCAUUAGCUAGUUGGCGGGGUAAGAGCCCACCAAGGCGACGAUGGGUAGCUGGUCUGAGAGGAUGAUCAGCCACACUGGAACUGAGACACGGUCCAGACUCCUACGGGAGGCAGCAGUGGGGAAUCUUGCACAAUGGGCGAAAGCCUGAUGCAGCAACGCCGCGUGAGUGAAGAAGGUCUUUGGAUUGUAAAGCUCUUUCGGUCGGGAAGAAGGGUUUUGCGGAUAAUACCCGCGAAGUUUGACGGUACCGGCAUAAGAAGCACUGGCUAAUUCCGUGCCAGCCGCCGCUGUAA
rnacentral:rRNA from 1 species